UGGCGGACGGGUGAGUAACACGUAGGUAACCUGCCUUUAAGACUGGGAUAACCCGUCGAAAGACGAGCUAAUACCGGAUAAGACCACAGUUCCUUCGGGGAUAGGGGUCAAAGGUGGCCUCUGCAUGCAAGCUAUCACUUAGAGAUGGGCCUGCGCACCAUUAGCUAGUUGGUAGGGUAACGGCCUACCAAGGCAAAGAUGGUUAGCUGGUCUGAGAGGAUGACCAGCCACACUGGGACUGAGACACGGCCCAGACUCCUACGGGAGGCAGCAGUGGGGAAUCUUGCGCAAUGGGCGAAAGCCUGACGCAGCAACGCCGCGUGGGUGAUGAAGGCCUUCGGGUCGUAAAGCCCUGUCGGAAGGAACGAAUUCUUCCGCCACGAAUAAUGGCGGAAAGUGACGGUACCUUCAAAGGAAGCACCGGCUAACUCCGUGCCAGCAGCCGCGGUAAU
rnacentral:rRNA from 1 species